rnacentral:rRNA from 1 species
GACGAACGCUGGCGGCGUGCUUAACACAUGCAAGUCGAACGGAAAGGCCCUGCUUUUGUGGGGUGCUCGAGUGGCGAACGGGUGAGUAACACGUGAGUAACCUGCCCUUGACUUUGGGAUAACUUCAGGAAACUGGGGCUAAUACCGGAUAGGAGCUCCUGCUGCAUGGUGGGGGUUGGAAAGUUUCGGCGGUUGGGGAUGGACUCGCGGCGUAUCAGCUUGUUGGUGGGGUAGUGGCUUACCAAGGCUUGGACGGGUAGCCGGCCUGAGAGGGUGACCGGCCACAUUGGGACUGAGAUACGGCCCAGACUCCGACGGGAGGCAGCAGUGGGGAAUAUUGCACAAGGGGCGGAAGCCUGAUGCAGCAGCGCCGCGUGCGGGAUGACGGCCUUCGGGGUGUAAACCGCUUUCGCCUGUGACGAAGCGUGAGUGACGGUAAUGGGUAAAGAAGCACCGGCUAACUACGGGC